rnacentral:rRNA from 1 species
CACGUAGGGCGCAAGCGUUGUCCGGAAUUAUUGGGCGUAAAGAGCUCGUAGGCGGUCUGUUACGUCUGCUGUGAAAACCCGGGGCUUAACCCUGGGCUUGCAGUGGAUACGGGCAGACUAGAGGCAGGUAGGGGAGAAUGGAAUUCCUGGUGUAGCGGUGAAAUGCGCAGAUAUCAGGAAGAACACCUAUGGCGAAGGCAGCUCUCUGGGACGGUACUGACGCUGAGACGCGAAAGCGUGGGGAGCGAACAGG